UCAACAAGUAUCAAUGCUCUGCCUUCCCUUUCACUGGUAAACAGUGGAACCUUUGCUGAACUGAUAGUCAGAACCAGUCAACAGAAACUGCCUCGGGUCACAUGAUCUCCAAGCACUGUUGUUACCAUAGCAACAGCUCUAUGAUAAAUUAGUCUGUCUCUGCUAAGCAUUCUGUUUGCCUAGAUGUCUUAGAAGGUGCAUUUUUUUAAAAAUUUAAGAUCUAUUUUCCAAUUUCAAGCAAACACCUGAUUGAACUCCUUUGGUGGGCUUUCUGACAUUCAACGUCUUGCAGCACAAAGUCAGGAGCAUAUUAUCCCUGACUUUGGGGAUGGGAUAAAUACUCUCAGCUAUUUAAUUAAGAAUUGCCAACGUGUCUGGAGGGCUGUUUUAUAUCUUAACGGGAUUUUUGUGCAUUCUGAUGAGGCUUGGUUUCUUGGUUAGAAGCUAUUCCAGCAAAGAAAUUCAAGAAGUCACCCUCACCAAGAAGUCUUGUAAAAUGUAACAGAAAAUUAUAUCCCAGCUAUACGAUGUCUUCUGGAACUUCCCCAGUGCUCCAAGACUAAAUGAAAAUCAACAUUAAUGGUACAACAAGUUCCUCAGCCAACUGUUUUAAAACUCCUGGAUGUAAAUGAUCAGAACCUACUGAUUUAAAAUUGCCUGACUGGAGUAGCUGUUGAAACAUGACUGUGAUGAAAAGAGUACUAUAACAUGAUAUGACUACAUCGUCUGUACUACCAAAGUUGAAGUCAUGGCCAAGUUUGAUUUCCAGAAUGCAAUGAUCAAACUAACUUGCUUUUAAUACAAAGUUCUCAAAAAUCCUCCCACGUACUCUUGCACUCUGUACAAGAGGACUCCUGUAUUGCUGUAUUAUUUUGCAGAGAGCUCUGAACAAAAAAAUUAUCAUGAGUACA